rnacentral:rRNA from 1 species
UACGGGGGGAGCAAGCGUUGUUCGGAUUUACUGGGCGUAAAGGGCGCGUAGGCGGUAGCACAAGUCAGUUGUGAAAUCUCCGGGCUUAACUCGGAAAGGUCAACUGAUACUGUGCGACUAGAGUGCAGAAGGGGCAACUGGAAUUCUCGGUGUAGCGGUGAAAUGCGUAGAUAUCGAGAGGAACACCUGCGGCGAAGGCGGGUUGCUGGGCUGACACUGACCGCUGAGGCGCGAAGCCAGGGGAGCGAACGGG